rnacentral:rRNA from 1 species
UGGGUAACCUGCCUCAAAGAGGGGAAUAGCUUCCCGAAAGGGAGAUUAAUACCGCAUAAUAUGUUUAAGUCGCAUGACUUUAACAUCAAAGGAUUUUCUUUUAGAACUUCCACUUUGAGAUGGACCCGCGGCGCAUUAGCUAGUUGGUGAGGUAACGGCUCACCAAGGCAACGAUGCGUAGCCGACCUGAGAGGGUGAUCGGCCACAUUGGAACUGAGACACGGUCCAGACUCCUAGGAGG